ACAGCCAUGUCUCUCAAGGUGAUCCUCGUAGCGUGUGUGGCCGCGGUGGCUCUGGCCGAUAAGGCUCCCGUGUACCACCAGCCACGUGUUUACGCCGCACCCACGUACCAUGCCCCUGCACCCUACAAGCAGCCUGAAUACCCUACCGCACCACCCAAGUACAACUACAACUACGGCGUCGCCGACGGCUACUCCGGCGCCA